rnacentral:rRNA from 1 species
GGCUUAACACAUGCAAGUCGAGGGGCAGCAUGACCUAGCAAUAGGUUGAUGGCGACCGGCGCACGGGUGAGUAACACGUAUCCAACCUACCGGUUAUUCCGGGAUAGCCUUUCGAAAGAAAGAUUAAUACCGGAUAGUAUAACGAGAAGGCAUCUUCUUGUUAUUAAAGAAUUUCGAUAACCGAUGGGGAUGCGUUCCAUUAGUUUGUUGGCGGGGUAACGGCCCACCAAGACAUCGAUGGAUAGGGGUUCUGAGAGGAAGGUCCCCCACAUUGGAACUGAGACACGGUCCAAACUCCUACGGGAGGCAGCAGUGAGGAAUAUUGGUCAAUGGACGAGAGUCUGAACCAGCCAAGUAGCGUGAAGGAUGACUGCCCUAUGGGUUGUAAACUUCUUUUAUAUGGGAAUAAAGUGAGCCACGUGUGGCUUUUUGUAUGUACCAUACGAAUAAGGAUCGGCUAACUCCGUGCCAGCAGCCGCGGUAAUACGGAGGAUCCGAGCGUUAUCCGGAUUUAUUGGGUUUAAAGGGAGCGUAGGCGGACUAUUAAGUCAGCUGUGAAAGUUUGCGGCUCAACCGUAAAAUUGCAGUUGAUACUGGUCGUCUUGAGUGCAGUAGAGGUAGGCGGAAUUCGUGGUGUAGCGGUGAAAUGCUUAGAUAUCACGAAGAACUCCGAUUGCGAAGGCAGCUUAC